UGAAAUUACAGGUGUAUUCCUUUUCCCCUACAUUAUGUGUAUAUUGUACCCCAUGGAAGAAAAUGGACUUUUUGAGGGGAAGGACUAUUUUCCUUUGAUCUGUCAAUUUCUAGUUCCUAUCACAGUUGUAGGAUAUUUUUAUUGUUGAGGAUAAUUGUAUUGUAGGCUUUCAAUAAAUGCCUGUUCAUUAAUUCAUUUGUAGAUCCAUAAAUCCAUACAGCCCUUCACAACAAGUUGGUACCAUCCCAUUGGGAGAGGAAGAGCUGGGGGCUGGCUAUAAGGCUGCUUACUCCCCGGGAACCAUGAGCAUGAAGCUUACUCAGCAUUUCUGCGUCAUCAGGGCAUUCACAAACUGCCAGGGUGAAAAGCUUUGGAAAACUGGAAGAGCCACCAGAAGCCCAGCAAUUGGAGUUCACAGCAACUGUUUAGAGCCAGCCUUGAGGAGAAAAGUGCCUGAUUCAGCAGAGAAGAUCAAUUGGACAAUCUAUACACUCUUUUCUGGGAUGUACAGGGUAUUCAGAGAAGACUAACACCUCUAGUGCGAGGACUUUCUGGGCCUUUACAGGGUUGCUCAACCACCUUUGGUGUCCACUCAGCUCUUACUUAUGGCUCCAAGAUGCUGUAGCAUGCACAGUGACCAUGCUCUGGUAAAACUGUCUUGGCAGAUGGGUUAAACCAGGUUGAAAAUAACCAGCAAUCUUCUAACCCAUUGGUGAGUUAGGGGGUGUCUACCCCAGGCAUGUGAAGACACUCCCCCAUCAGAAGGGGAAAGAGAACAAUUCAUUCCAGUGACCAGGAAGGGGGCUGAAGUAGGUACUGUGAAAAGCUAAGAGUUUAGUCAGACAUCAAAGAAAGGUCAUCCACUGAAUCCUGGUCAUCACCAGUUGUCUUGGACUUUUGUCUUGCCACUGGACUUGGAUGAGUCUGGAAGAAAGAGUGAAGCUGAUGACUUUGUGCAACUCUGUCUCACUUAAAUCCGAUUCAUACACAAGUCAGAAUGGACCCCCAUGAAAGAAUGAAUGACAGUCUAUUAUGCAAGCAAUGAAGGGACUCAUCUAUUGACCCUGCCACAUGCUCAGAAGUGAACUUGGUGGGGGAAAUAGUCUUCUCCUUUAAGUGUGGGCAUCCUUUCUAGGAACAGCAGUGUGAAAGAAAAGUGGGCUCCUACUUAGGAAGUUUAUAUAUAUUUAGUUCUUGCUAUAUAUUUUUAAUGUUUAAAAAAAUUCCCAAUUACAUGUAAUAACAAUUUUCAACAUAUGUUUUCCCAAACCAUAAGAUCUAAAUUGCCUCCUUUUCUCCCUUCCUUCUCCCUCCUGGAGAUGGUAAACAAGGUUAUAUCCUCUUAGUAAAUAUUCAUUUGUAAAAGCUAAUUGAUAUUAACUGGUUAGUUGAUAUUGGGGAGAGUUCGACUGAUCAAAAUGAUAUUGUAGUGACGGAUAUUGGGGGAGCUGGAGAGUAACCAAUAGAGCAACAUUAGAAAGAAGAAGAGAGCCAAGAUGGCAGAGUAGAAGGAAAUGAUGUAGCUGAGCU
rnacentral:lncRNA from 1 species